GCACGUACGGAAAACGCAAUAAUCUGUUAUUUCUUACCUACGGUGUAGAUUUAAUGAAUUAGAAUUCUGUUGUCAUAAAACAAUUUAUGCAAACUUGACUCUCAACGGUUAUUGCGUGUCUUAAUAAUAUUUUACCUGUCAUACAAUUAUUGUAUUAAUUAUCUCAAGGACUUUAAAAGUCCUCUGUGUAGGCCACUCAAGAUUAUCUGAUAGACAGGUUAAGUGCUCCCUGUAUUUGGAUGUAAAGUUCACAGAUAUUUGUGUUUCUUUUUUCAUUAUUUCAUUUUUGUGGGUUAUCACAUUAAACAGUGCUGGCUUAAUAAUAAAUGAGCAAAAUGGCAAACGCUUAUCUAAUCUCUAAAUGGCGGAUGUAAUUCAAGGUUCUUGAUGUCAAAAACGAAGUAUAUGUAACCAAGGAACACAUUACUCAAGACAAGACAAAGUUUGCCCAUUUUCAUCAUCUGGAAGACAAUCGAAAAGAAGAAAUGAUGACAAGGAUAGAGCAAUGGUGGAACAAGUACAUUCUACAAG
rnacentral:lncRNA from 1 species